GUCUUCGUGGUGUAGUGGUCAGUACGCUCGACGCGUAACCGAGAGUUCCAUGGUUCGAUUCCCUGCGAUAGCG
rfam:Stegodyphus mimosarum contig22116, whole genome shotgun sequence.